GGAUGAACGCUGGCGGCGUGCUUAACACAUGCAAGUCGAACGAAGCAUUUGCGACAGCUUUUUUCGGAAUGAAGUUGCUUAUGACUGAGUGGCGGACGGGUGAGUAACGCGUGGGUAACCUGCCUUGUACUGGGGGAUAGCAGCUGGAAACGGCUGGUAAUACCGCAUAAGCGCACAAUGUUGCAUGACAUGGUGUGAAAAACUCCGGUGGUAUAAGAUGGACCCGCGUCUGAUUAGCUAGUUGGUGAGAUAACAGCCCACCAAGGCGACGAUCAGUAGCCGAGCUGAGAGGGUGACCGGCCACAUUGGGACUGGGACACGGCCCAGACUCCUACGGGAGGCAGCAGUGGGGAAUAGUGCACAAUGGAGGAAACUCUGAUGCAGCGACGCCGCGUGAGUGAAGAAGUAAUUCGUUAUGUAAAGCUCUAUCAGCAGGGAAGAUAGUGACGGUACCUGACUAAGAAGCUCCGGCUAAAUACGUG
rnacentral:rRNA from 1 species